UACGUAGGGUGCAAGCGUUUAAUCGGAAUUACUGGGCGUAAAGCGUGCGCAGGCGGUUUUGUAAGUCUGUCGUGAAAUCCCCGGGCUCAACCUGGGAAUUGCGAUGGAGACUGCAAGGCUAGAAUCUGGCAGAGGGGGGGUAGAAUUCCACGUGUAGCAGUGAAAUGCGUAGAGAUGUGGAGGAACACCGAUGGCGAAGGCAGCCCCCUGGGCCUGCACUGACGCUCAUGCACGAAAGCGUGGGGAGCAAACAGG
rnacentral:rRNA from 1 species